CUCCGGUAACCUUUGUCUAGCCACCGCCGCGCUCCGCGAACUAUCCCAAGACCACCUGUUUGUUCUAAUCCCUCUCGAAUUGUCGUCGCCGGUAGCCAUCAAGAUUCUAGGGUUCGAGCCGGCCACGUGAGAGAAGAGGAAUGGGGAUGAACUAACUGCUUUUGAGAGAUUUCGAGACUAAAUUAUACUAACUUCAGGGGGUUAUCAGCAAAAAACUAAAACCGACUAAACAGCCUACGUGUGGACUUCUGAUUGGUUUGGACCUCCAAUGAAUCCGCAUCUCAACUAUUAGGACUAGCCCACCCCAUUUUUCAACAAGUUGGACUAAUUUGCCCCCACCUCUCAACUAUUUGGACCACGGGUGUAUAUAGCUUGAUAUGUUUUGGUGAUACGUCUUAUAUUUUGGAACGCGGGGAGUAUAUCAGAGUUGGGGCCGGUCCAAUUCACACCUAGACGUAUUAAAUUUCAAGUUUAUAUUUCGUCAUCUAUUAAACUCCGUACUACUCCGGAGUUUAAGGCUCAUAUCUCACUUUUCUGCUAAAAAAAUCUUAAUUGCAACGAGCGAGAAAAAUAGGCCGUGUUAAUGAGAGCAAUAAGAACAUAAGAAAACAACCGAAUAUUCUAAUCUAGCGAUAAGAUGAAGUUCACAUUAUCCCUAGAAAAAUAGGCCGUGUCAACUGAUCUCUAACUAAAAACCAGCCAACUUUUCAAUAUCAAAAACAAAACAAAAACCAACAGUGUUAAGAAAAAAAGACAAUAUAUAGGACUAC
rnacentral:lncRNA from 1 species